rnacentral:rRNA from 1 species
UACGAAGGGGGCGAGCGUUGUUCGGAUUUACUGGGCGUAAAGGGCGCGCAGGCGGCUCUUCAAGUCAGGCGUGAAAGCCCCGGGCUCAACCUGGGAAUUGCGCCUGGGACUGGCGAGCUUGAGAUCGGGAGAGGAGCGUGGAAUUCCCAGUGUAGAGGUGAAAUUCGUAGAUAUUGGGAAGAACACCGGUGGCGAAGGCGGCGCUCUGGACCGAUACUGACGCUGAGGCGCGAAAGCGUGGGGAGCAAACAGG